rnacentral:rRNA from 1 species
GAUUAAACGCUAGCGGCAGGCCUAAUACAUGCAAGUCGAACGGCAGCACGGGUAGCAAUACCUGGUGGCGAGUGGCGCACGGGUGCGUAACACGUAUGCAAUCUACCUUUAACUGGGGAAUAACCUUUCGAAAGAAGGGCUAAUACCGCAUAACACUUCGAGAAGGCAUCUUCAUGAAGUUAAACCUCCGGGAGUUAAAGAUGAGCAUGCGCUCGAUUAGCUAGUUGGGAGGUAAUGGCUCACCAAGGCGACGAUCGAUAGGGGUCUGAGAGGAUGAUCCCCCACACUGGUACUGAG